rnacentral:rRNA from 1 species
CAGAACGAACGCUGGCGGCGCGUCUUAAGCAUGCAAGUCGAGCGGCAAGGUGCAGCAAUGCAUCCUAGAGCGGCGGACUGGUGAGUAACGCGUGGGUGACCUACCCUUGGGUUGGGGAUAGCCAUUAGAAAUAGUGGGUAAUACCGAAUACGGUUAUGCGGCUAUGGCUGUAUAAAGAAAGGAGCUCAGGCUCCGCCCGGGGAUGGGCCCGCGUCCCAUUAGCUAGUUGGGGGGGUAAGAGCCGACCAAGGCGAAGAUGGGUAGCCGGCCUGAGAGGGUGAACGGCCACACUGGGACUGAGAUACGGCCCAGACUCCUACGGGAGGCAGCAGCUAAGAAUAUUCCGCAAUGGACGAAAGUCUGACGGAGCGACGCCGCGUGGAUGAAGAAGGCCGAAAGGUUGUAAAAUUCUUUUAUUGCGGAAGAAUAAGCGGGGGAGGGAAUGCCCUCGUGAUGACGGGAAGCA